CUUAUACUCCCUCCGUCCAAAAAUACUUGUCAUCAAGAUGAAUAAAAGAAGAUGUAUCUAGACGUAUUUUUAUUCUAAAUACAUCCUUUUUAUCCAUUUUGAUGACAAGUAUUUAUAGUUCUAGAUAUAUCCAUUUUUAUCUAUUUUGAUGAAGUAUUUCCGGACGGAGGGAGUACUUC
rfam:Triticum urartu cultivar G1812 contig546643, whole genome shotgun sequence.